rnacentral:rRNA from 1 species
UACGGGAGGCAGCAGUGGGGAAUAUUGCACAAUGGGCGAAAGCCUGAUGCAGCUAUGCCGCGUGUAUGAAGAAGGCCUUAGGGUUGUAAAGUACUUUCAUCGGGGAGGAAAAAACAAAACUAAUAAUUUUAUUUCUUGACGUUACCGAAAACGAAAGCACCGGCUAACUCCGUGCCAGCAGCCGCGGUAAUACGGAGGGUGCUAGCGUUAAUCAGAAUUACUGGGCGUAAAGAGCACGUAGGUGGUUUUUUUAAGUUCAGAUGUGAAAUCCCUGGGCUUAACCUAGGAACUGCAUUUUGAAACUGAAAUACUAGAGUAUCGUAGAGGGAGGUAGAAUUCUAGGUGUAGCGGUGAAAUGCGUAGAUAUCUGGAGGAAUACCUGUGGCGAAAGCGGCCUCCUAAACGAAUACUGACACUGAGGUGCGAAAGCGUGGGGAGCAAACAGGGAUUAGAUACC